ACACGAAUAGCAAACAUUAUGUCCAGCCUCAUAUAACAACAACUCACACAUUGUUUUGGUAAUUAAUCAAAUGAUGUCGUACAGUGUCCACGUCCUGAUGUCCUGAGGGUCCAACGACGUCAUGACGUCAUCUCCACUGGAAGAGGAGGAGGAGAUGGAAGAGGAGGAGGAGGAGCACAGUUGCGCAUUGAUCCACUGAUACAAACAUCAGUUGUCUACCAAUCUAAGGUUCUCCAAUCAGAUUCCACGACUACUGUUCCUGCACCCAUUCUUAUCUGGUCCAUCCAGCACUACACAAAUCCAUGAAGUGGAUGUUCUCCCAAGCUGUUGUUGCGUUUCACUGCCCUUUAUUUCUCAA